rnacentral:misc_RNA from 1 species
GAUGAAGAACGCAGCAAAAUGCGAUAAGUAGUGUGAAUUGCAGAAUUCAGUGAAUCAUCGAAUCUUUGAACGCACAUUGCGCCCUUUGGUAUUCCUUAGGGCAUGCCUGUUCGAGCGUCAUUUUCACCUUCAAGCACAGCUUGGUGUUGGGUGUCUGUCCUUAGGGACUCGCCUCAAAAGGAUUGGCAGCCACUCCAGCGGCUUUGAGCGCAGCAGAUUUGCGUCCUCUAGCAGUGGGAGAUGGCAUCCAUAAGCUUACUUUUUAUUUUGACCUCGGAUCAGGUAGGGAUACCCGCUGAACUUAAGCAUAUCAAUAAGCGGAGGA